GACGAACGCUGGCGGCGUGCUUAACACAUGCAAGUCGAACGGUAAGGCCCUUCGGGGUACACGAGUGGCGAACGGGUGAGUAACACGUGGGUGAUCUGCCCUGCACUUCGGGAUAAGCCUGGGAAACUGGGUCUAAUACCGGAUAGGACCAUGGACUUCACGGUUUGUGGUGGAAAGCUUUUUGCGGUGUGGGAUGGGCCCGCGGCCUAUCAGCUUGUUGGUGGGGUAAUGGCCUACCAAGGCGACGACGGGUAGCCGGCCUGAGAGGGUGCCCGGCCACACUGGGACUGAGAUACGGCCCAGACUCCUACGGGAGCAGCAGUGGGGAAUAUUGCACAAUGGGCGAAAGCCUGAUGCAGCAACGCCGCGUGAGCGAUGAAGGCCUUCGGGUCGUAAAGCUCUGUCCUCAAGGAGAUAAUGACGGUACUUGAGGAGGAAGCCCCGGCUAACUACGUGCCAGCAGCCGCGGUAAGAUAGCGUACU
rnacentral:rRNA from 1 species